AAAUUCCUCUUCGCCCUUUUCCUGUUCGUGGCAUCUUGCGCUGCGCAGCGUUAGCGACACCACCGGGAGCUGUGCGCAUAUUUUCUAUUCGUGUAAGGAGCACCGGAGGCGGAGGUUUCUGAGCAGAUCGACAGGCAGUGCGGGCUUCUCCGCCUAAAAUGAAAGCGUUUUUAUCCUGAUGCACCGAUGCGGGAGGAACUGCGACUCAUGGGGUGCUGAUUUACGUUUUGCAUUUUUACAAACUCGGAUGUGUUUUUGCACGAUCCGAGAGGCCUCGCUUACACGGCAUCUUUCUGCAGCUCUAUUUUUUUUUUUUUUUUAAUAACUGCUGCAGGCUGAGAAACGAGCUUUCAGUCCCCGCUGAGUGUUACAUAACCGAGUGGCUUUAGCUGUCCAAGGUGCUGAACUGAGCGGUCGAACCUCAAAACGGGGCUACGAGCUGUGGGGGAAUACACAACCUUGUAAGGUCAAAGGCCUGGAAAGCGCUGGAUCCCACCUUGGAGAACAGAAGUGGAAAAUUGGUGAAGAUUGAUUAUAUUGCUCACAUUUUUUUUUUUUUUUUUUUU